UACGUAGGUGGCAAGCGUUGUCCGGAUUUACUGGGCGUAAAGAGCGCGCAGGCGGUCGUUCAAGUCGCGUGUGAAAGCCCCGGCUCAACUGGGGAGGGUCACGCGAUACUGAUCGACUCGAAGGCAGGAGAGGGUAGUGGAAUUCCCGGUGUAGUGGUGAAAUGCGUAGAUAUCGGGAGGAACACCAGUGGCGAAAGCGACUACCUGGCCUGUUCUUGACGCUGAGGCGCGAAAGCUAGGGAGCAACGGG
rnacentral:rRNA from 1 species